GUGGGGAAUAUUGGACAAUGGGCGAAAGCCUGAUCCAGCCAUGCCGCGUGUGUGAAGAAGGUCUUCGGAUUGUAAAGCACUUUAAGUUGGGAGGAAGGGCAGUAAGUUAAUACCUUGCUGUUUUGACGUUACCGACAGAAUAAGCACCGGCUAACUUCGUGCCAGCAGCCGCGGUAAUACGAAGGGUGCAAGCGUUAAUCGGAAUUACUGGUCGUAAAGCGCGCGUAGGUGGUUUUGUAAGUUGGAGGUGAAAUCCCCGGGCUCAACCUGGGAACUGCCUCCAAAACUGCAUGACUAGAGUACGGUAGAGGGUAGUGGAAUUUCCUGUGUAGCGGUGAAAUGCGUAGAUAUAGGAAGGAACACCAGUGGCGAAGGCGACUACCUGGACUGAUACUGACACUGAGGUGCGAAAGCGUGGGGAGCAAAAGGGAUUAGAUACCCGGGUAGUCC
rnacentral:rRNA from 1 species